CUCGUCCGCGCGCAUGUACUUGUACGCGCGCUCCAGCAACUCAGCGUACGUUCGGGGGAGGGUUUUGUCCAGGGAGUAGGUGAAUCGGGAUGCCCUCAGCCCCCGUUUCAUGGCCGAGAUGGCCAUAUCUUCGUUGAGGUCCCGGACCUCAAGCGUGGCCGCGUUGAAUCGCGCCACGAAGUGUCGGAGCAUCUCAUUUUCCCC
rnacentral:lncRNA from 1 species